AUGGAAGAAGGCGGUGACUAUUAUGUUGUCAAGAAAGGGGACAUGGUUGCUGUUUACAAAACUUUAAAUGAUUGCCAGGCGCAAAUUUGCUCUUCGGUAUCUGGUCCUGCUGCAAGUGCCUACAAGGGUUACUGCUGGAGCAAAGAAAAGGCAGAAUACCUCUCUUCACGUGGACUAGUCAAUGCUUCGUAUACAAUCAGUGCAGCUGAACUUAGGGAAGAUUUAUUGGGUGCCCUUGUGCCCUGCACUUUCCAGGAGGUAACUGCUACUAGUUCAAACCAACGAGCUCCAAAUCGGUCCACCCUCGGCAGUGAUAUAAGAUAUCAACCUGGCAUCCAUAAUGAUAUAAAAUAUGAGCCUGGGACACUACCUGUGGAUCUGAAUUAUAGUGUCGCUGGAUCUGGUCAAGCUCAAGGUUACUCAGUCCAGGAACAUGCAUUUAGUGGGCAGGAAGCCAAACCAAGGUCCUCCAGUUAUUCCUCGCCAAAUAACCUUAACCACACUGGAGCUUUUGAUGCACAACCUGUCUCAAAACAAUAUAUGGUAUGUGUGGUUCACUUUGACGGUGCUUCAAAAGGAAACCCAGGAAAAUCAGGUGCUGGAGCUGUACUUAUGACUGAAGACGGGAGAGUGAUAUCCCGACUUCGUGAGGGUCUUGGUGUUGCUACCAAUAAUGUUGCUGAGUACCGGGGCCUUAUCUUAGGACUGAAAUAUGCCAUCAGGCUUGGAUUCAAGAGAAUCAAAGUAUAUGGUGACUCUCAACUAGUCUGUUAUCAGGUGAAAGGUACAUGGCAAGCAAAGAAAGAGAACAUGAUGGAACUGUGCAAAGAAGUGAGAAAUCUUCAAGAGAACUUCAUCUCUUUUGAGGUCCACCAUGUCCGACGGGAAUGGAACUCUGAGGCGGAUCGCCAGGCAAACAUAGCCAUCACCCUCGCAAGCGGCGCGGUUUCUGAGGAGCGUGGCGACGGCUUCUGA
rnacentral:rRNA from 1 species